rnacentral:rRNA from 1 species
CAGGUGCUGCAUGGCUGUCGUCAGCUCGUGUCGUGAGAUGUUCGGGUUAAGUCCCGCAACGAGCGCAACCCUCGUCCUUAGUUGCCAGCAUUAAGUUGGGCACUCUAAGGAGACUGCCGGUGUUAAACCGGAGGAAGCGGGAUGACGUCAAGUCCUCAUGGCCCUUAUGUCCAGGGCUACACACGUGCUACAAUGGCCGGUACAAAGGGUAGCAAGACCGCGAGGUGGAGCCAACCCCAAAAAGCCGGUCUCAGUUCGGAUUGGAGUCUGCAACUCGACUCCAUGAAGUUGGAAUCGCUAGUAAUCGUGGAUCAGCAUGCCACGGUGAAUACGUUCCCGGGCCUU